UAAUGAUCUGGGAAGAGAUGGAAUAGAUUGAGUUUGGACAUGUGCUGUGAUGUGAGAACAUUUUUGUUCUUUCUGCUCUUGGAGGAGACUCUUGGAGCUUAAUGUAAACACCGCUGCAAUCCCUGACAUGACAUGCUCUGUGUACUUCCCAUUUUCCACCAAAAGGAGGUGUCCAAGCAGCAGCAGCAACACCAGGAUCCUCCCUACAGCCCUCUGCCUCACUGACCUCAGGCUUACUGCACAGCUGGCUCUCUCGGAAAGAGGUUCCCCUUCUGCAUGCUGUUUAUUAACUCUACUGUUGUUCAAUAUUUCCAACCCAGAAGCUCAAUUGGCGUGUUGAGACUCACCUCCAGCGUGGUGAGGACUAUCUUAUCCACGGAGGAAAAGUAGGCUUCCCACAGCAUCUGGGUCUUCUGUCGGAGGGCCAGGACUCUUUCGUUCCCGACUGCUCUCACUGUGGACGGCACCUGCAGACAAAAAAUGAGACUUUUGUUUUGUUCUUCAACUGAGCCAUGUCUAUUAAAAUAAACCCUGAAAUAAGAAAUAGAAGAAAAAGCCAUUCAAGUGGUCAAGUGUGUCUACCAAAUCCUUCUGUCUUCUCAAUUUGACAUGGAGCUGAUGUGGGUCCAGUUGCUGAAAUGAUUGGACAUUAUUUAAAAGAAUUAGUAGUUUUUGAGACCACCUGAAUCACUUAGAGAUUAAAGAUCAUGUUGACUUCAGAAAGGAAGUUGACCCUUCAGUUCUCACAUAGCCAACCUGUUUUCUAAUGAGUGCAAAAUACUUUUUCGGUGUAUUUAUAAAAUUCUACCAUCGUUUCUCUUGACUACGGAGCCCCUCCCCCCAACACUCUUACUCCAGCAUUUAGGUUUUUCUACUUUCCACCUUUCUUCCAUGAAGUGUAAAGGACAGCUUCACUGUAGAGUCGUCCUCUGUUCAUCUCAAGUGUCAGUCCACACUCAGCCUCUUCUGUGAAAAACUCACACUCCUUAACCUCAGAUCAUGGAAAGUGUGAAUAGUCACAAGUGUGUGUGUCUAUAUUAAACGGUUUUGUUGGUCUGCAGAAAUGCCACUGCUGUUAGGUCAGCUCAUUCAAUUCUAACUCUGCCCAUAUUUGAGAAUGUCUCCCCUGGAUUGCCUGCGCUCCAGGGGCUUGUUCCUGGUCAUUAGCAGAAUGCCAAUUCAUGUCCUCUAUUGCUCUGAGAUCGAAGUGGAUCAAUGUUGAGGAAACAUGAUGUAAUUCGUGUGAGGGAGAGAGAUCAUGGUUUCAGUGCAGAGUGAGUCGGCUUUGCUCUCUCCCUGGGUUUGUUUGUGUGUGUGUGUAGAAAGAGGCAGACACAGAGGAUGGGUGCUUUUCAACUAAAAAUGGAUUAAGGACUCUGCAGGGUUUUAAUCUCAAAGAGCCCCAACCUGUAUCCACACCGUUUGAUGUGGGUAAUGCCUUCUUUGUAGCCAUUCAUGGUGGAUGUUCAUGCUUACAUUUAAACCAACUCGGCUCUUUUUGUUUAGCAUCAUUGUAACUGGGAAAAUAUUGCACUUGGAUUGGUGCAAAAUAACCCUAUUAACAUUUAUGACAGAUGACUCUAGGCUAUCUCUUUCUGAAACACUCUGACAUACAUUUUUAUUGUGUUUAUUGUCUUAAGUCUUCCCUUUUUCCUUUUUAGGUUGCUUUGCAAUAUAGGCAGUAAUUGCCGAUGCUGCAUCAGUGACUUUAACUUGCCUUUAACUUCUGAAUUGCCCUGUAAUUGG